UGACAUGAAUAUUGUCCCUGGGAUCAUGAAGGUCUGCAUGAAUAUGUAUACAGCACAGUAACCUAUCAACACCUGUACGGUGUAGUCACUGGUAUAGUUCUCAAGAUGGCCACUGCAAGGAAACCAUUUGAUGGUUAGAAAUUGAGGGUAAAAAAUUCCAUCGUCGGCACGCAGCACAAGCAGUUGGACGCUCCCAGUGCACAUGUAUUCCAGCUUAAGCAAAUAAUCACAAUAACNUAAAAAAUUCCAUCGUCGGCACGCAGCACAAGCAGUUGGACGCUCCCAGUGCACAUGUAUUCCAGCUUAAGCAAAUAAUCACAAUAACAAUGUAAUCAUAACGCCA
rnacentral:lncRNA from 1 species